rfam:Canis lupus familiaris chromosome 17, whole genome shotgun sequence.
UGGAGGAACAACCACGGUGGCAGCUCUGGAGCCCUGGAUUCAGCCCCCGCAGGAACUCCGGAGCUCUCCGUCUGCAGGGCCUGGAGGCUCCGGGGCCGG